GCCGGCGUGGCGCAAUGGUAGCGCGUAGCUUUCCUAUUGCUUAUACAAGCAAAUUGAGGCUGAAGUUGCGGGUUCGAUCCCCGUCGUCGGUU
rnacentral:tRNA from 1 species